AUCUCAGGGCAGGGUGUGAUUCCCUACCGGCGGUAUAGCCCGCGAGCCGUUAUGGCUGAUCCUGUUAAAUUCAGGAGCCGACAGUAUAGUCUGGAUGGAAGAGGU
rnacentral:ncRNA from 1 species